rnacentral:rRNA from 1 species
GGCCUGCGGAAGGAUCAUURMUGAAUUCACUAUGGAGUUGUUGCUGGCCUCUAGGGGCAUGUGCACGCUUCACUAGUCUUUCAACCACCUGUGAACUUUUGAUAGAUCUGUGAAGUCGUCUCUCAAGUCGUCAGACUUGGUUGCUGGGAUUUAAACGUCUCGGUGUGACUACGCAGUCUAUUUACUUACACACCCCAAAUGUAUGUCUACGAAUGUCAUUUAAUGGGCCUUGUGCCUUUAAACCAUAAUACAACUUUCAACAACGGAUCUCUUGGCUCUCGCAUCGAUGAAGAACGCAGCGAAAUGCGAUAAGUAAUGUGAAUUGCAGAAUUCAGUGAAUCAUCGAAUCUUUGAACGCACCUUGCGCCCCUUGGUAUUCCGAGGGGCAUGCCUGUUUGAGUGUCAUUAAAUUCUCAAACUCACUUUGGUUUCUUUCCAAUUGUGAUGUUUGGAUUGUUGGGGGCUGCUGGCCUUGACAGGUCGGCUCCUCUUAAAUGCAUUAGCAGGACUUCUCAUUGCCUCUGCGCAUGAUGUGAUAAUUAUCACUCAUCAAUAGCACGCAUGAAUAGAGUCCAGCUCUCUAAUCGUCCGCAAGGACAAUUUGACAAUUUGACCUCAAAUCAGGUAGGACUACCUCSCAUGAACUUAAGCAUAUCAUAA